AUCCAAAGGGUAGCUCAGUUGGUAGAGCAUGAGUCUCUUUAUCUGAGGGUUGUGAGUUCGAGCCUCACAUUGGGCA